rnacentral:rRNA from 1 species
GGAUGAACGCUGGCGGCGUGCCUAAUACAUGCAAGUCGAGCGAACAGAUGAGGAGCUUGCUCCUCUGACGUUAGCGGCGGACGGGUGAGUAACACGUGGAUAACCUACCUAUAAGACUGGGAUAUCUUCGGGAAACCGGAGCUAAUACCGGAUAAUAUAUUGAACCGCAUGGUUCAAUAGUGAAAGACGGUCUUGCUGUCACUUAUAGAUGGAUCCGCGCCGCAUUAGCUAGUUGGUAAGGUAACGGCUUACCAAGGCAACGAUGCGUAGCCGACCUGAGAGGGUGAUCGGCCACACUGGAACUGAGACACGGUCCAGACUCCUACGGGAGGCAGCAGUAGGGAAUCUUCCGCAAUGGGCGAAAGCCUGACGGAGCAACGCCGCGUGAGUGAUGAAGGUCUUCGGAUCGUAAAACUCUGUUAUUAGGGAAGAACAAAUGUGUAAGUAACUAUGCACGUCUUGACGGUACCUAAUCAGAAAGCCACGGCUAACUACGUG